rnacentral:misc_RNA from 1 species
GAUGAAGAACGCAGCGAAAUGCGAUAAGUAAUGUGAAUUGCAGAAUUCAGUGAAUCAUCGAAUCUUUGAACGCACAUUGCGCCCCCAGGUAUUCCGGGGGGCAUGCCUGUCCGAGCGUCAUUACAACCCUCAAGCUCAGCUUGGUAUUGGGCCCCGCCGACCCGGCGGGCCCUAAAGUCAGUGGCGGUGCCGUCCGGCUCCGAGCGUAGUAAUUCUUCUCGCUCUGGAGGUCCGGUCGUGUGCUCGCCAGCAACCCCCAAUUUUUUUCAGGUUGACCUCGGAUCAGGUAGGGAUACCCGCUGAACUUAAGCAUAUCAAUAAGCGGAGGA